GACGAACGCUGGCGGCGUGCCUAAUACAUGCAAGUCGAGCGCAGGAAGCUGACGGAACUCUUCGGAGGGAAGGCAGUGGAAUGAGCGGCGGACGGGUGAGUAACACGUAAGGAACCUGCCUCAAGGAUUGGGAUAACUCCGAGAAAUCGGAGCUAAUACCGGAUAGUUCAACGGACCGCAUGGUCCGCUGAUGAAAGGCGCUUCGGCGUCACCUUGAGAUGGCCUUGCGGUGCAUUAGCUAGUUGGUGGGGUAACGGCCCACCAAGGCGACGAUGCAUAGCCGACCUGAGAGGGUGAUCGGCCACACUGGGACUGAGACACGGCCCAGACUCCUACGGGAGGCAGCAGUAGGGAAUCUUCCACAAUGGACGAAAGUCUGAUGGAGCAACGCCGCGUGAGUGAUGAAGGUUUUCGGAUCGUAAAACUCUGUUGUAAGGGAAGAACACGUACGAGAGGAAAUGCUCGUACCUUGACGGUACCUUACGAGAAAGCCACGGCUAACUACGUGCCAGCAGCCGCAGUAAGAC
rnacentral:rRNA from 1 species